rnacentral:rRNA from 1 species
CCUACGGGUGGCAGCAGUGGGGAAUAUUGCACAAUGGGGGAAACCCUGAUGCAGCGACGCCGCGUGAGUGAAGAAGGAAUUCGUUACGUAAAGCUCUAUCAGUAGGGAAGAAAAUGACGGUACCUGAGUAAGAAGCCCCGGCUAACUACGUGCCAGCAGCCGCGGCAAUACGGAGGGGGCAAGCGUUAUCCGGAUUUACCGGGUGUAAAGGGAGCGUAGACGGUGUGCCAAGUCUGGAGUGAAAUGCCGCAGCUUAACUGCGGAACUGCUUUGGAAACUGGCGAACUAGAGUGCAGGAGGGGUAAGCGGAAUGCCUGGUGUAGCGGUGAAAUGCGUAGAUAUUAGGAGGAACACCGAUGGCGAAGGCAGCUUACUGGACCGUAACUGACGUUGAGGCUCGAAAGCGUGGGGAGCAAACAGGAUUAGAUACCCCAGUAGUC